rnacentral:lncRNA from 1 species
AAACUGAAGUACAGAGACCUGUCUUAAAAUUCUUUUAAUUUGAUCUCUUGUGAGAAUACAGCACUAAAUACAGAGAACAAGAUGUUUAUAAAGGAGAAAAAUAAAUGUGCAACGUCCAGCAACUUUGUUUAAACAGCCAGAGAGGUGGUUUGACCACAGUCAAUGGACUUUGUACUAAAGGAGUUGAAGAGAAUGCUCACGUGUUCUGGGAGAAUCCAAGUGUUGCAAUUCUGGAACCAACUGGCUUAAAAAAAAAACCACAAACCAGGUAGGAAACUGGGACUGAGCAGAGUGAAUUUGUGGGUAACCUGCUCUGCACUGUAAAGGAGAGUGUCCAUCCUCUCCAGGCGGUGCAGUUCAGCCCCCAGCAAUCCCCGUGCUCUGAACUACAGUGGCAGAACGUGUUCCUUGGUAAUUAAAGGGAGAUUCACUGCAGGAGUUCUUUCAUCUGCCUUCACAUCUGUCCAGUAUAUCAAACAGCCCUUUGCAAUCCAGUAUUGAUGAAUAGCUGUUCAUUUUCUUAAAUUUGAGAUUAAUAGAGAGGGCAGAGAGUUUUCUAAUUUUUAUAGGUCCGUUUGAGUAUGAAAAAACAACCCGUUGGACUUGUAUCUUCAAACAAUAAAACAGAGGAGAUUUCGUAAUAUCA